rnacentral:tRNA from 1 species
GAGGAUAUAGCUCAGUGGUAGAGUGCAUGCUUAGCAUGCACAAAGCCCUGGAUUCAAUUCCCAGUACCUCCA